rnacentral:rRNA from 1 species
AUUGAACGCUGGCGGCAUGCCUUACACAUGCAAGUCGAACGGUAACAGGUCUUCGGAUGCUGACGAGUGGCGAACGGGUGAGUAAUACAUCGGAACGUGCCUAGUAGUGGGGGAUAACUACUCGAAAGAGUGGCUAAUACCGAAUGAGAUCUACGGAUGAAAGCAGCGGAUCGCAAGACCUUGUGCUACUAUAGCGGCCGAUGGCAGAUUAGGUAGUUGGUGGGAUAAAAGCUUACCAAGCCGACGAUCCGUAGCUGUUCUGAGAGGACGAUCAGCAGCACUGGGACUGAGAAACGGCCCAGACUCCUACGGGAGGCAGCAGUGGGGAAUUUUGGACAAUGGGCGCAAGCCUGAUCCAGCAAUGCCGCGUGCAGGAUGAAGGCCUUCGGGUUGUAAACUACUUUUGUACGGAACGAAAAGCCCUGGGUUAAUACCCUGGGGUCAUGACGGUACCGUAAGAAUAAGCACCGGCUAACUACGUGCCAGCCGCCGCCGUAAUAC